rnacentral:rRNA from 1 species
UACGGAGGGUGCGAGCGUUGUCCGGAAUUAUUGGGCGUAAAGAGCUCGUAGGCGGUCUGUCGCGUCGAUCGUGAAAACUUGGGGCUUAACCCUGGGCUUGCGGUCGAUACGGGCAUGACUGGAGUUCGGCAGGGGAGACUGGAAUUCCUGGUGUAGCGGUGAAAUGCGCAGAUAUCAGGAGGAACACCGGUGGCGAAGGCGGGUCUCUGGGCCGAUACUGACGCUGAGGAGCGAAAGCGUGGGGAGCGAACAGG